ACGGGUGAGUAACACGUGGGUAACCUGCCUCAUAAAGGGGAAUAGCCUUUCGAAAGGAAGAUUAAUACCGCAUAAGAUUGUAGUACCGCAUGGUACAGCAAUUAAAGGAGUAAUCCGUUAUGAGAUGGACCCGCGUCGCAUUAGCUAGUUGGUGAGGUAACGGCUCACCAAGGCGACGAUGCGUAGCCGACCUGAGAGGGUGAUCGGCCACAUUGGGACUGAGACACGGCCCAGACUCCUACGGGAGGCAGCAGUGGGGAAUAUUGCACAAUGGGGGAAACCCUGAUGCAGCAACGCCGCGUGAGUGAUGAAGGUCUUCGGAUUGUAAAACUCUGUCUUCAGGGACGAUAAUGACGGUACCUGAGGAGGAAGCCACGGCUAACUACGUGCCAGCAGCCGCGGUAAUACGUAGGUGGCAAGCGUUGUCCGGAUUUACUGGGCGUAAAGGGAGCGUAGGUGGAUAUUUAAGUGGGAUGUGAAAUACUCGGGCUUAACCUGGGUGCUGCAUUCCAAACUGAAUAUCUAGAGUGCAGGAGAGGAAAGUAGAAUUCCUAGUGUAGCGGUGAAAUGCGUAGA
rnacentral:rRNA from 1 species